rnacentral:rRNA from 2 species
GGACUACUAGGGUUUCUAAUCCCGUUUGCUCCCCUGGCCUUCGUGCCUCAGUGUCAGGAACUGUCCAGAGACCCGCCUUCGCCACUGGUCUUCCUUACGAUCUCUACGCAUUUCACUGCUACACCGUAAAUUCCAGUCUCCUCUCCAGUCCUCAAGCACCGCAGUAUCAAAUGCAAUUUCGGAGUUAAGCUCCGAGAUUUCACAUCUGACUUACGACGCCACCUACGCACCCUUUACGCCCAAUGAAUCCGAACAACGCUUGAGACCUCUGUAUUACCGCGGCGGCUGGCAC